UCUUCAAAAAUUUAUUGUACUAUUGUUUAUCCCCCUUUAGCUCAUACAACUUUUAUCUGAAAUGUUUUUCCGUAUUUUCAAUAUUUUUUGAGAUCAUUACUUGGGAUAUUUCAAAUAAGACACUCUGUAUCUCUAAUGUACAUAUGUCCUAUUCAAUGAGAGAAACCCAACAAGCCGGACGAAAACUUUUUUCGCGCAUACUCCAUCUACAAGAUGGCCCAAGCAUGCCUAUCUAAUUGUAAGUAUACGGUACUGAUUUGGAUAGUUUCUCUUGUUGAAGAAAAUAUACGUAAUAAAUGGAUUGCUCGGCGCUUGUGCUCUGCUGUUGCACACACGCAAAGCCGAGCACCUACUCGUAUAUGUCUCGCUGCGACGUUCGUUGAUUGGAACACCAUGAUAAUGCAGGAGCUCAUACGAUAACGGAAUUAAAAAUACUGAUAUUAUUGACAUUUUACUUCCACUUAGAAGAUGGCGCAAGACCGUCGGAGUUCGGCCGUCACUCCAGCAUCGCCUUAAGCCUAUCUUGUUUUAUCGCCUUUAGUUCGAUUUCAUCGUUCUUACCUAUUUAUCUAAUGCGCAUUACCACUAAAAUUUUAAAAGUGAAUUAAGUAUUAUUAUGUCGGACAGUAAAUGCGUAAUGGAAACUAAACUGUCGGAUGAGAAGUGCCUCGUCGUAGUUUAUUAAUGAGAGGAAAAAGCCUGUUCAAGUAGCCUUUCAAGCCUGGUUAACGGCAGAAAAUGCUAAAUCAGAUUUGUAUCACCUCAUAAAUUCUGAGGUGAUUAUUCGAUGGCCCAUAAAAGAAGGUAUCAAAUGUGCUCGAAUGAUGGAAAAAAUUCUAAACAAGAAGGUUAUCGUUUGGGAAGAUCUAAUUGUAAAAGUGAGAUCUGUUGGAAGUAAUUCUUUCAACAUAGUUUAACAUACAACAUUUUUGGACAGCCGCCUAUGUAUUGUAUUAUAUGUCUCCUACUCUCUUAAUUUAAAUCAGUGAAAACUCUAUAAAAUGUCUGUGUAUCUAGUCACUGUUCCAGCAAAUUUUCGAUCUUUCAGAGCGGAAAUUUCCGCGCGUAAAGAUGAGAAAGAUCCAAAAAAACAGGCCGUUAAGUUGACCUUUUUUUGGCCUAGUAACUCUUUUGUUCCGAAUGGGUAAGCACAUUUUGACGGGAUUUCACUAUUUCAUUAAUGAAUUGGUCAUAGUUUAAGUAAAAUAUCGAAUCACUAAUGGAAUGAAAAUUUCACUGUUUUAAAUUGAGAGAGUAAUAACGUCUUUUGGUCGUCUUUGAGUAGUACAUUGUACGUCUCCGGGACGUCUUCGGCUUACGGUUAGGACGUCCAUAAGACAUCGAAUUGUUGCUCGAGUUUUGUCGAACUUGGAGGUGGUGGGGUGUUCUAGAUAAUUAGACUAUAUUUUUUAAAUUUGAGUACUAUGGUAUAAAUGUGUAUCAAAAUUUGUAGCACUUACUGAUAUAUGUAAACAUAUAAAAAAUAUUCAGCUCUUCGGUGUGCCUAAUCCUUCUCGAGAGGAAAGCCGAAAACUUUGCCAAAGAUCAUUAAGCUCUAAUCAAGACAAUGUGUGUGAUUUAGACUUAUCAACAGAGAACGAUACUACAUCUGCACAAGAACGUUCCAUUGAUAAUUCCUUGAAAAAGCAUCAACUGUUGAGAAAACUAAUGUUUUGCUUCAAUAGCAGAUUGAAAACUUACCAACAGAUUUGAUCAAAAGAACUUCUCGGAUUGAUUUAAUAAAUGAUAUUGAGAAAGAGGAGGAUGACGACAAUUCUAUGUUUAAGUGGAGUAAAGUCAGACUAAUCAACUUAAUUAUAACACUUUGAAAGUGGAAAACAAAAAACUAAGAGAAGAUAAUGCAAGAUUAAGAGCUAUUAAUGAAGAUCUACAUAAAAUAACUGACAUGUCAUCUACUUUACGUAAGAAUAUAGAUAGAUUGCGCAGAGACACGGACUCACUGCUCAAUAAACCUAGCCAAAGCAGUAGCUGUAAUAGCAAGAACAACAAUAGUGAUAAGAAUCCUAACAGUAAUUGCAAACCAAGCCACUCAAAUCAAAAUGUUCAGAAGGCUAAUAACAAUUUUAGCAGCAAUACUAAUAGCAAUACUUUGGAUAUUAUUAGAGAAUAUAGUAAGAUAAACUUUUUAUUUUUUUGUAUUAAUGUGGAUAAGUGUGCGUGCGUGUGUGCAUGUGCAUGCAUACGCGUCUACGUAAAGUGUGAAAUGACAUUAAUGAUGUAUCAUAUUUUCAAAAUAAUGAUAAAGAGUAGAUACUGAGUAUUUUAAAUUACAUUACAAAGUAACACAAAAAAUUGAAGUAGUUGAGAACUUGUAUCAAAAGUUAUUGCAAUAAGAAGUAGUAUUUUUUUACCAGUACUCUAAAAAAAUAUAUGAAAAGAAACUAUAGAAUGACAAAAAUAAAAUUUUUUUUAAGUAUUGAAGAUGAUUUACGUAAAACUUUAUUACGAUGCAGAGAUUAGUUGUUCUAUAAACAACAAAAUAUUUAUUUGUUCUAAAUUUUUGAGAAGCUGAUCUCUCAAUCGCAAUACAAAACUUUGCAUAAAUUAUUUUGAAUAUUUAAAAUAUUUAAUACAAAAGUUGUAAGAUUUUUUCAUAUUAUUAUUAAAAUUUUAGUUUAUAUGUAAGAAUAAAAAU